UACGAAGGGGGCUAGCGUUGUUCGGAAUUACUGGGCGUAAAGCGCACGUAGGCGGAUUUGUAAGUCAGGGGUGAAAUCCCGAGGCUCAACCUCGGAACUGCCUUUGAUACUGCAAAUCUCGAGUCCGGAAGAGGUGAGUGGAAUUCCUAGUGUAGAGGUGAAAUUCGUAGAUAUUAGGAAGAACACCAGUGGCGAAGGCGGCUCACUGGUCCGGUACUGACGCUGAGGUGCGAAAGCGUGGGGAGCAAACAGGG
rnacentral:rRNA from 1 species